AUGAACGCUGGCGGCGUGCCUAAUACAUGCAAGUCGAGCGAACAGACGAGGAGCUUGCUCCUCUGACGUUAGCGGCGGACGGGUGAGUAACACGUGGAUAACCUACCUAUAAGACUGGGAUAACUUCGGGAAACCGGAGCUAAUACCGGAUAAUAUAUUGAACCGCAUGGUUCAAUAGUGAAAGACGGUUUUGCUGUCACUUAUAGAUGGAUCCGCGCCGCAUUAGCUAGUUGGUAAGGUAACGGCUUACCAAGGCAACGAUGCGUAGCCGACCUGAGAGGGUGAUCGGCCACACUGGAACUGAGACACGGUCCAGACUCCUACGGGAGGCAGCAGUAGGGAAUCUUCCGCAAUGGGCCAAAGCCUGACGGAGCAACGCCGCGUGAGUGAUGAAGGUCUUCGGGUCGUAAAACUCUGUUAUUAGGGAAGAACAAAUGUGUAAGUAACUAUGCACGUCUUGACGGUACCUAAUCAGAAAGCCACGGCUAACUACGUG
rnacentral:rRNA from 1 species